rnacentral:rRNA from 1 species
GUGUCAGCAGCCGCGGUAAGACGUAGGGGGCGAGCGUUGCUCGGAUUUAUUGGGCGUAAAGAGCGCGUAGGCGGCCAGGGAAGUCCGGUGUGAAAGCCCUCGGCUCAACCGAGGACCCGCAUUGGAAACUCCCUGGCUUGAGUCCAGGAGGGGAGGGUGGAAUUCCCGGUGUAGCGGUGAAAUGCGUAGAGAUCGGGAGGAACACCUGUGGCGAAGGCGGCCCUCUGGAAUGGUACUGACGCUGAGGCGCGAAAGCUGGGGGAGCAAACGGGAUUAGAAACCCGCGUAGUCC